AACAGUCAUCCUCUCUCGCACGGAAAUCAAGACAUUGUGUUUCUGAAGCCAGACAGAAGGAAAAGUGGUUUCCAAUUAUGUGGGGGGCUCUAUAUCAACUUCACCAGCAUAUAUGGAUACUGGGGAAUAAUUGUGGGACAGUAAAGGCUGGCUGCACCAUGCAAUAAAAAUCAAUGAAGCAAGAUGCUGGUUGAUUUGUGGUUGUGGCUGAUUUACAAAGUCCUUCUCCCUGGUAAUUUACUAGAUCAAGGUAGCUUCUAUAAACCCAACCUGAAUGAAUAUGGAGUAAUACAGGAUUUGAGUUCCUGAGAUCUCCUAGACAUAAAAGAAGGAAGCAAGGUAAGAACAGGGAAUGGGUACCCAUGGGAGUAGCCCACUGUAAAAAUGGACUUGUCUUCUCUGAAUCUUAUUUGAUACCCACUGUUUUCCGCUGAGGUUUAUGUAGCUUGUUUGAUUACAGAUCUUUGUCCCCAGAUUUCUUCUCCACCCCACCUUUCUUUUCAUACACAGACCCUUGGACUUCUAUAAUGGAAUGGUACCACCCCUAAGAAAGAGUCUGAAAAAUGAACUAGCGCAGUGAAAACCCCCAGUAAAUGUUAUGCAAACUUAUCAUGAGUUAAGCCAGAAGUACAAAUUUGCUACAUUGUGGAAAGGCUAUAAAAUAGCAAUUUGUCUUACUGUAUGUGCAAUUUUAAUGUAUUCCAAAGCAUGUGUAUUGUCUAUUUCUAUU